rnacentral:rRNA from 1 species
UCUUGCAAACUAAAGAUGGCGACCGGCGCACGGGUGAGUAACACGUAUCCAACCUGCCGAUAACUCGGGGAUAGCCUUUCGAAAGAAAGAUUAAUAUCCGAUAGUAUAUUAAAACCGCAUGGUUUUACUAUUAAAGAAUUUCGGUUAUCGAUGGGGAUGCGUUCCAUUAGUUUGUUGGCGGGGUAACGGUCCACCAAGACUACGAUGGAUAGGGGUUCUGAGAGGAAGGUCCCCCACAUUGGAACUGAGACACGGUCCAA